CAGUCUGUAAAGUUUGUAUGCUUUCUGUAAGUUCCUUAUUCUUAGUUCUACUGUCUGGCCAUUUAUUUAAGGAUAUUGUAUGGAUUAUGAAGCUAAUAUAUUAUCCAGGAUUUGAAGCAUGAGGAGUUAAAAGAUGUCACUCAAGGAUUAUCUCCCAAAUGUAGCCAGCCUGUUAAACAUCACCCUUUAGAUCAGGGAAAACAGUAAGAAAGAAAAUACCUAUUGUGUGUUCUCCUUAAGAAUUCUAUAGAGUCAGGUGAUGGAGGCAGAACAGGACAGUAGCCAAGGUGACGAAGAUUAAUGAGAAAGCCAGAAAAGCAGCUACAGCUAAUGCAUUAGGU